UAUAUAUUAAGUAAAACUAGAUUAUCCAACUACAGACAAGUACACGUACAAACAUGAGGGGAACUAUCACAGUACAAAUAUUCAAUCAGACAUUUCAUUUACAAUUAAUUUCUUGGUCAUGAAUAUUAUUGUACAAAUUAUUAUAUUGCAAGCAACACAUGCAAGUUUGAAUAGAUACUUGGUUUUCUAUUUCUAUUCGGACGUCGGUUGGCUUGUAAAGGUACCGUUGCAUCUUGCGUUUGUCCAUGAACAGGAAUAUCUAAUAAGAAACAUAACUCGAAUCUUCCGAUGUUAGUGAAUCUGGUGGUGUAGGAUUCGUGGGGGUACAAGACCCAGAAUUAUUUUUACUUGUACCCUUAUUUGGGGAAUUAUAAGAAUAAUUAGAUCGUUUCAAACUUGAACGUAAUCG